AAUGUGUUGAACCUCUAAAAUAUUUGUCAAUCAUGCUUUCUUGUAAAUAUAUAGUCAAACUGUGAUUCAAUUACAAUAGUAUUUUCUGUUUCUCAACUGUUAACUGUUUGACGAUAGUAAGAGUGUCUAAUUCAUCCCUCUUUCCUCUAGCUGUUAACACAAGAUUUGGCAUGGGUUAACAACUCAUUUACUAUUUAAAGAUAAGAACCUUUAACAGAAAAUGCCAGUCAUAUAAUGUAAAGGAGGCACAGGGUAUGUAUUUUCUGUGUAUAAUUCAAGCUAAAUGUUAAAUAGCACAGGCUCAUAAUUAUUUUCUUAAUUCGAGUAUGUAAUGUGUUUUGUCUUGCUGGAGUUGCCUCCAAAGCCGUUGUAGGGGGAGUUCCUUCAAGGGACUGCUUCAAACCAUUCCAUGAAGGGGCCAGUUGGGAUUACAAAGAAGGAAACACUAAAAGCCGGGGUGAUGAGUCCAAAGCAUUUGCAGCAUUAGGGGAACUUACAUACAGAGGGCUUCAGCGUCCUCAUGACAGAAAAAAAUACGUUCUACCCAAGUAUGUCCUUAACCAGAGUGUCACCCUAUGUAGUUUAUAUAAGAGUGUCAGGAAUUUGGCCCAGGCCGUUGCUAGAUUCUAUGUGUUUGGCAGCAUGCUUGAUAUUUCAGGGCUUGGGAAAACCACCUAAACAACUUCCUGUGGGCCUUGGAGUACUCCUUGAUACCUUCCAGGCCCCAGUUUCCCCAGUUUGGGUUUAAGCCUGCAGGGAAAAACAUGAAGCUGGCUGGGUCACUGAGCACUAAAGGCACUCUGACUUUCUAGGUAAGGACAAAGAAAGAAAAUAGGGGACACUGGGGACUCUACAUAUAAAGAUACAAUUUCCUCUGUGUUUAAUAAAGUCUAGGGUAUACCAGAUUAAUGCAACAAAAUAUGAGUUAUUUUUUUGGAAAAACCUGUAUAUUUUGAUUUUAUUAAAACAAUUAUUUGGAGAUUGCAUCUUUCUCUACCACAAAACUACCAGUAGACAUUGUCCUUUAUGAGAAGGCAAAGGAUAUGUGACUGAAUUGGUUCUACCACUUAUCGAGGAACUGAACUUAGUUCCUUAAACUAGUAACUUUGGCUUUUAAUUCAAUUAAAUACAGAUUAUAACACAGAGUCAGUGAGAAUAUCAAAAUGGUAAUGUAAGAGGAAAAAGGGCUCCUGGACAUGGUGUGUUUUUUAAUAACAAUAAUUGAAUAAGGGGAUACAUUAAAGUUCUGCUUACACAAAAAGAAAUCAUCAUGCAUAUGUUUCAGGAAAAGUAUAUUUGUUGUGUACUAUUUUUGUUAAAAAGGCAAUAAAAUUAAUUCUUCUUAGAGUACAGUUUCAGGC
rnacentral:lncRNA from 1 species